CCCCGACGUUCAAGGAGGCGGAGAGUGAGGUGGCUGGAGAAGCUGAUGGGCAGGCUAAGCUUUGGGGCGCAGCGCACGCUGCGGAUGGGCAGGCCAGCAGAGAGGGAUCCGAGGGCAAUCCAGGCACUGCCCAGCAGGUAAUGGCUGAUCGCUGCACCUGUCAUGGGGAAGACCCACCAUGCACACUUGCUGCUGUGGGAUCUACCUCUCCCAAGCCAAAGAGACGCCCUCAUGCGUGAGGUACAAGUGAGGCGGGUGUGCCUGGCCAGGCACGGGUGACACGUCGUUGUGCUAUGCAAUCCCUGGUAGGUGGCGUAGGCCCAUGGCCCUCAUCUUUUCCCUACCAGGAUCCCCCCCAUUUAGCAACAUGGUGGUUGCAACCAGUGUUCCCUGUAGGCCAGGCACUUGGGUGGUCACCCCCAGGAGAGAGUCAAAUGCCACCCAGCUUAUUAGCAGAGCACCCCCAGCCGGCAGCAGGUGUUUCUAGUAGGGGUGUAUGCACCUUGGUGCACAUAAGAAAAUUUAUUCCACACACCAAUAUGAAAAAUCAGAGGGGAGUUUGGUUGGGACUCUCUGGGGACCGGCUUGUAACGCUCCCCAUGCUCUCAGGAAAGUGCUUUAGAGGAGCUGUUGGUCUGAGGGAAUGCAGGGGUUUCAUGAAAUCCGGCCCCCGGCCUGCCCUUGUUCCACUGAUAGAUGGUGUCGUUGGACCUGGGGAAGCAGCACAGUUCUGACAUGUGGCUGUCGCUGUCUGAGACAGAAAAAACCCAGUCGGGCCACUGGGCCCUCUGCCAGCCCCAAGCAGGGCUGUGGUUUGACAAUGUUUCUAUCAGGCAGCUGAUCUAAAUGCCUUCCCCAUGGGAGCAUUUCCCCUAGAACUUUUCUCCCUGCCUCCCUGGUGUUUGCUUUUCAGAAGGACGCAGCUGCUCCAGAUGGGCCCUCAAAUGCUACCGCUUUGGACGCAGCUUUGGAAGCUGGCCUGUCUGCCAACGCCGGGAAAAUGGUCGCCCCACCUCUUGCCCUCCAAAGUAAUGCCAAGGAAAAUGCCCUUGAAAUCCCAGCUGAAUCCGCAGCCCAGGGCAGGGGAACUACCGAGAGCGAAGAAGCCACUUGCUUUGGCCAAGCUGAGCUGCUCAGCACCUUGGACAGCACCACGGGCGACAAGGAUGCUGUUGACUCCAGCUGGGUAGCCAGUACCUCCAAAGACACCGCAGAGGGAGCACUGGCCUUGGAGGAAAUGGCUUCUGUCUCCUGCCAGGGCCCUGCGGCGGCAGACGGGAAGAGAGAAGACACCAAUGAGAUUCUGUUUGGGAGCAACCCCGCGCCUGCUCUGUGAUGUCCAGCCGUAGAAAAGGCUCCCUUUCCAAGCUCAGUUGCUUACACCCAGCCCUUGCAGUUCUGUGCUUUCCUGGUGAACUUUUUGGCUCCGAAGUCCACCCGCCUGGAUUUUCGCUGGAAGGUGGAGACAGCAGCUAGCCAGAAGCAGGGCCCCAGUGGGGGUGCCAGCUAGGAACAGGCCUGGCCACACUUAGAAGAGCAGAGUCCUUGGAACUUACCAAGGGCCCUGCUAAGAUUGGUGCAUGCAAAUAAAAU